AUCGCUUCUCGGCCUCUUGGCUCAGAUCAAGUGUAGUGGCAUGACCUUAUCAGGCGAAUAUCUGAUACGUCCCCCAAGGCGUACCGCUGGAAAGAUGGAUUUUUGGAAGCUGGAAAAUGGAAGCAAGGCUUGCUCCGUCCACUCCACGGAUCGACCCGGUAUUGCAGUACCUCCAGGAACAACUGACUGGAU